rnacentral:rRNA from 1 species
CUACGGGAGGCAGCAGUGAGGAAUAUUGCACAAUGGGGGGAACCCUGAUGCAGCAACGCCGCGUGGAGGAUGACGCAUUUCGGUGUGUAAACUCCUUUUAUAUGUCAAGAAAAUGACGGUAGCAUAUGAAUAAGCACCGGCUAACUCCGUGCCAGCAGCCGCGGUAAUACGGAGGGUGCAAGCGUUACUCGGAAUCACUGGGCGUAAAGGACGCGUAGGCGGGUUGGAAAGUCAGGUGUGAAAUCCUACAGCUUAACUGUAGAACUGCACUUGAAACUUCUAAUCUAGAGUAUGGGAGGGGGGGAUGGAAUUAGUGGUGUAGGGGUAAAAUCCGCAGAUAUCACUAGGAAUACCUAAAGCGAAGGCGAUCUCCUGGAACAUUACUGACGCUAAGGCGUGAAAGCGUGGGGAGCAAACAGGAUUAGAUACCCUAGUAGUC